UCGUAACAAGGUCUCCGUUGGUGAACCAGCGGAGGGAUCAUUACCGAGUUUUCAACUCCCAAACCCCAUGUGAACUUAUACCAUUUACAACCGUUGCUUCGGCGGGUUCUCGCCCCGGGCUUUACACCCCGGAACCAGGCGGCCCGCCGGGGGACCCAAACUCUAGAUUUAUAUUUUAGCAUGUCUGAGUGGAAUCAUUACAAAAUGAAUCAAAACUUUCAACAACGGAUCUCUUGGUUCUGGCAUCGAUGAAGAACGCAGCGAAAUGCGAUAAGUAAUGUGAAUUGCAGAAUUCAGUGAAUCAUCGAAUCUUUGAACGCACAUUGCGCCCGCCAGUAUUCUGGCGGGCAUGCCUGUUCGAGCGUCAUUUCAACCCUCAAGCCCCAGCGGUUUGGUGUUGGGGACCGGCGAGUACAGAGGCUUUGGGGACUUGUCCCCCUUCCCUCGGCGCCGCCCCCGAAAUGAAUUGGCGGUCUCGUCGCGGCCUCCUCUGCGUAGUAGCACAACCUCGCAUCAGGAGCGCGGCGCGGCCACUGCCGUAAAACGCCCAACUUUUUUUAAGAGUUGACCUCGAAUCAGGUAGGAAUACCCGCUGAACUUAAGCAUAUCAAUAA
rnacentral:misc_RNA from 1 species